AACAAAGGAUAAACCAUUUUUCUGAGAAGAGGAUUGUAUUGCAGGAGGUGCUGCGCACAUUUAAAGAAAUUUUGCAGCUGGAACUGGGGAACAACGUAGGCCCGUGUUUCUUGCCUGAUUUCCAAGGAAGAUCAUCAUUCUACUCUAGGUUUCUCCAUUCCUGCAGAAGACGCAGCGAGGAGACAGUCUUGUUCAAAGUUGCUCAGGUAAGGGGAAUGGCAGGCAACUGUGUGGUGAGGAAGAAGGGAUUGUGGGUAAAGGGUCAGUCCUUCUGGACUAGU
rnacentral:lncRNA from 1 species